UACCCACAUCCGGCUUCCCACCCGCAGACCUCGUCCAAUUGUGCCUCUAGGGACGCCCAUCCAAGCUGGAGAUACUUGAUACUGUUGGCUCAUCCAUGACGUCUUUAACUGGGAAUCACCAAAAAGGAUGAAGACAUCCCCCGACGGGAGAAGUGUUGUUUGACAUUUGUGCGUGAAGACUGGCAGGCAUAAAGCCACGCCCAUAGAGACCCAAUGUCCAAUCAAAUUUAACCAACACUUUUUUUAAUUCAAAAUGGUCGCAGCCCUCCAUACUGGAGUAGUCAUCCGAAGAGCUGUUUUCUACCCUCCUCUCAUCACCUUCCUCCUUCUUUUCCUCCCCUUCCUCUUCUGCCUCACUUUCACUCAACUGGUUGCCCAUCUCCACGUCCCC